rnacentral:ribozyme from 14 species
CAACACAAAUUACAAGACACAACACAACACAACACAACACAACAACAAACACUCCUUUUCAUGUAUUUGGUGCCACCUUCCUUUUUUUCCAUUUUCUUCCUUCUCAUUCU